rfam:Actinomyces sp. S6-Spd3 contig196, whole genome shotgun sequence.
CGGGUAAGACAGGGGAGCCCACAGCGGGCUGAGAGUGCGAAUGCAGACCCUUACACCUGAUCCGGAUUAUGCCGGCGUAGGAAGUCGCAAUCUCCGGACU